GUGUGAAAAACUCCGGUGGUAUAAGAUGGACCCGCGUUGGAUUAGCUAGUUGGUGAGGUAACGGCCCACCAAGGCGACGAUCCAUAGCCGACCUGAGAGGGUGACCGGCCACAUUGGGACUGAGACACGGCCCAAACUCCUACGGGAGGCAGCAGUGGGGAAUAUUGCACAAUGGGCGAAAGCCUGAUGCAGCGACGCCGCGUGAGCGAAGAAGUAUUUCGGUAUGUAAAGCUCUAUCAGCAGGGAAGAUAAUGACGGUACCUGACUAAGAAGCACCGGCUAAAUACGUGCCAGCAGCCGCGGUAAUACGUAUGGUGCAAGCGUUAUCCGGAUUUACUGGGUGUAAAGGGAGCGCAGGCGGUGCGGCAAGUCUGAUGUGAAAGCCCGGGGCUCAACCCCGGUACUGCAUUGGAAACUGUCGUACUAGAGUGUCGGAGGGGUAAGCGGAAUUCCUAGUGUAGCGGUGAAAUGCGUAGAUAUUAGGAGGAACACCAGUGGCGAAGGCGGCUUACUGGACGAUAACUGACGCUGAGGCUCGAAAGCGUGGGGAGCAAACAGGAUUAGAUACCCUGGUAGUCCACGCCGUAAAC
rnacentral:rRNA from 1 species